CUAAUAGGUCAAAAAAAAUUCAGCUGCGUUGGCAAUGUCCUGACUUUCUUGGCAGCAUUUUUCGUUUUUCUGUCUAUAUUAGAAUAUCUUACAUACCAUGAAAUAGGAUCACACGCCAAAAAACAACCUGAACUUUACGUGCAAGGAGCCGAAUUUGAACCAGAGCCAUAUCAUGAACCAGAUUACCAUUAUUUUGAAGAUGAACCUGAACCAUGUCCUAAAAGAGACCCUAAAUACGAACCAGACCCUGAAUAUGAGCC